rnacentral:rRNA from 1 species
CCUACGGGAGGCAGCAGUAGGGAAUAUUGGGCAAUGGGCGAAAGCCUGACCCAGCAACGCCGCGUGCACGAUGAAGGUCUUCGGAUCGUAAAGUGCUUUUCUGAGAGAUGAGAAAGGACAGUAUCUCAGGAAUAAGUCUCGGCUAACUACGUGCCAGCAGCCGCGGUAACACGUAGGAGGCAAGCGUUAUCCGGAUUUACUGGGCGUAAAGCGCGUGCAGGUGGUUCGGUAAGUUGGAUGUGAAAGCUCCUGGCUCAACUGGGAGAGGUCGUUCAAUACUACCGGACUUGAGAGCAGUAGAGGGAGGUGGAAUUCCCGGUGUAGUGGUGAAAUGCGUAGAUAUCGGGAGGAACACCAGUGGCGAAAGCGGCCUCCUGGACUGUUUCUGACACUCAGACGCGAAAGCUAGGGGAGCGAACGGGAUUAGAUACCCCAGUAGUC